GAAACGGGGAGCUUGUGCGACAGGCUGAGAACAGGAUUAUAUCCUGGACCCAUGAACCUGAUUUGGAUAAUGCCAACGGAGGGAUAUAAAAUG
rnacentral:ncRNA from 1 species